UCCGGAUGGGAGCCGAAACGUCUUGAUUCUGAAAACAGUGUCCAGAUGACUACGACUGAAACCUUUUCUACGAUAGAACACUCCUGGACGAAUGAGGGACUACACGGCCUAACCCUGAGGAACAUAUUAUCUAAUGCUUAAGAACAAAAAAGUCCCUCAAGAACUUUCUAGCUUGUUCUCUGUGCACACUGCCAGCAACCAGCUGUUACAGGAAUGCUCACUAUGCAUGUACAUUCUGCUGAAGCUCAUUAUUCUCUUACUGGAACCAGUUAGAUCAUGGGUGAAUUCUGAAUUAGCCACUGUGUUCUUUUUUGCUUGUUUCUAAUCAUGUCACCAUAUGGUGGUAGUAUCAAAAGAGUUACUGUGGCAGACUGCAUCUGAUGACGGCACUGACCAAUUCAGAGCGAAUCCAGGCAUACGUUUUUACAGAGUGCCAAAGAUAAACUAGAAGAGCAGCAAUGUCAAGAUACUUUCCACUGGGCUGUGGAAUGCUAACUAACCAAGCACAUGGUUUUCUGAAUUCAUGAAAGAGGAUUUCACAAAGUUGUCCACAGACAACCAAAGAACCCUUAAGAUUUUGAUUGUGAAUAGGAUCACAAAUCCUGCUUUAAAAUGUAUCAUAAACUGUUGACAGAGCAACACAUCCUUAAGCCCAAACCUAUGAAAGUGCAGGCUUAUUUACAGUUAGCUGGAUGAUGACCAAGAUAUUAGUAACAGAUAAUGAAAUAGUUCUAUCAUGUAGUAUAGUGUACAAGUGUAUGGUGCAGUAAUGUGUAAACCAUCUGUUCUUUUUUCCUUAUAUUAUGAAUUAUUAUACUUGUACUUUAUACAUACUAUACUAUAGUAAACCUUGUAUGCUGUGGCAAUAGUGUACUUAAUUAUUGUCAUGCAAAUAUAGCAAAUAACUUAACGUCACAUACUAUACAUCACUAUGUCUGGCAUGCACAGCAAAGGAUGAAAAUUCAAAAUUUAUUCUGGGUAAGAUUUGCUCCUGAAGAUGAAUGUUUAGUUCAUUCCCUUAGGUCUGAAAGGAUUGAUUACUUCUCACCUGAGUUGUGAGAGAAAUUGAACAGAUGAUGGCUGCAGGGAUUUCCCCAAGGGGAACUUUUAGUAUACUACAUACUGACUGUUAGUAUACUACAUACUGACUGUUAGUAUACUACAUACUGACUGUUAGUAUACUACAUACUGACUGUUAGUAUACUACAUACUGACUGUUUGGUCAAAAAUUGCCAACACAGGGACUACUGUUUCUAAUGGUUUCAGCCAUAUCUCGAGCCUUCCUCUGUGGAUAGGCUUGCACUACCAAUGUACAGCAUAUUACCAUUGCUAUCAUCGUUUAUAUUUAGACUUAGAGUAUAGUUCUAGUUUUUAGUUUAGUCUCUGUUUUAGAUUUUAGUCAUUUAUGAUUUUGUUGUUUUUUUGUAUUAUGUUUACCUCUUCUUAUCUGUCAUGCACCAUCCACCACUUAUAAUGACUGUUGUUAUAUCAUAAUGCAUAAUGAAGGUUCAGAGCAACUCUUAUAAUAAAUUAUGCAUGCAGUGCAUGCAUAGUGCUCGUAUCUGUAAUACAUUGGGUUCCAAAUAAAGUGUUAACCAGGGUUUUUCCUGUGUUAUGAGGGGUUAAAUCUGCUCAUAUGUGUACGUCUGAUUGUGCAUUGUGUCUUUACUAUCUAAACGCUCUAAUGCUGAAUAAGAAUAUCCACCACUUAUGACGUGUACUUGUCAUAAAUGUUUGUUUUGUAUAAAUCUCCCAUUUACCAUUAUUCAUUUUGCACUUGUGUUUUUGGCGCCCUCUGCUGGUGCAUAGUUGGUGAAGGGAGGGUUCUGAGUAUUUUGGCAGAUGUGGGGCAUUCAGAAACCUGUGCAAAGUAAAAAAGGAAAUUGUGGAAAUCAGGUAAAUAUUUUGCCACUGACUACAUUAACUUAUAACUUAUGAAUGCAUAAUCAUGUUUAGGGGUGUGUGGUCAUAUUUGAUUAAUAAAAUAGAAUUAACAUUGUACAAUAUAUGUCAGCCUAUAAGUCUACUUUCUUUAUAUCUUUAUUGCUUUUAAUUUUGUAACAUGUACAUUAAAAAUAAGACGUAUAAGGAUGAAACAAAACAACAGGAAGGCUGCUGGUUAGUAAAAAAAAUCAUAUCUAUAAAAGCCGCGCGCGCUCACGCACACACUCACAGAGUAAAGCGAGACACUGCUCUUUCUCAGACCGGUUAGAAAUUCAAAACACAACCGCCUCGCACAAUCUCCCGUCCUGCACCGCGUCUAGAAAAGCCUCUGUGGUCAUUUUAAUUUAACAUAAAAAAAUAAAUAAAAAUCACUUGAGCGAUAUUAUUCAAAAGUAACGACAGGGAUCGAUUGUACUGGUCAACAGGCACAUUUUGAUACAGGUGAAAUAUUGCUGCGCGCGUGUUUGAAUUUCUAUUUAUUUUUUCUGUGUGUGACGGCUGUGUGGGGAGCUGAGGAGCAGAGCGGUUGGCGCCACUUUCAAAUUUUUCACUGACACAGAAUGAGAGUCCGGCUUCAAAUACAUUUACACACCACUUAAUUUCUCAUUUUUAUAAUUACUGUAAGACGAGGAAUAUACUAACAACAGUUCUCUUUUGGACAGUGUUUUCAUCGGAAGUGUUUAAUAUGUGACCCUCUGCAAGCCUGCAGUAGGUCGGUGUCCAAUAUGGGUCAACUCUGAGGGCCCCUGUCUCCUGAAUGGUUGGUCAUUCUGGUUAGUUGAACUGCUUUCUAACACUUUCUCAUAUAGGUUAACAUGUAUGAAAAAAUGUGUUUGAAUCAAAAGGGGUGAGGUCAGAAAGUGAUUUCUGAUGGAAUGCCCCUGGGAUCCCCAAUCUCCCAGGACCUAAAGUGGGAAUCCAACAUUGACUUCAUAAUCACAAUGGCCCAGCAGAGGAUGUACAAGUUCAACCUGCAUCAGGAGCUGCUGAUCCAGUUCUAGUCUACAAUCAUCCAGUCUGUUCUCUGUACAUCCAUCACUGUCUGGUUUGGAUUGGCCACCAAUAUUUAUUUCUUUGCACUAUUUGUUUACAAUUUAUAGAAACACUUGACUUAUAUAAAGACAUUGUAUGUUGUUGGUCAUUGUUGCUUUUUAUUUAUAUAUAAAUCUACUUUUUCACCAUCUUUGUUCACCUUUGUUGUCCUUGUUUUUAGCUGUAUGUCUCUUUCAGUGUCCUGUAAAUUGCUCUUGGAACUGUAUGCAAGUAAACUGACAGCAACUAAAAAACAGAGUCAGAUUCCUUCUAUGUGUACACAUACUUGGCCAAUAAAACUGAUUCUGAAAUCAACCCCUCUGUGUGUUUUAGUAGUUGUUCGUGAA